rnacentral:rRNA from 1 species
AUUGAACGCUGGCGGCAUGCUUUACACAUGCAAGUCGAACGGUAACAGGCCGCAAGGUGCUGACGAGUGGCGAACGGGUGAGUAAUGCAUCGGAACGUGCCCAGUCGUGGGGGAUAACGCAGCGAAAGCUGUGCUAAUACCGCAUACGAUCUGUGGAUGAAAGCGGGGGACCGUAAGGCCUCGCGCGAUUGGAGCGGCCGAUGUCAGAUUAGGUAGUUGGUGGGGUAAAGGCUCACCAAGCCGACGAUCUGUAGCUUGUCUGGAAGGACGACCAGCCGCACGGGGACUGAGACACGGCCCAGACUCCUACGGGAGGCAGCAGUGGGGAAUUUUGGACAAUGGGCGCAAGCCUGAUCCAGCAAUGCCGCGUGCAGGAGGAAGGCCUUCGGGUUGUAAACUGCUUUUGUACGGAGCGAAAAGGCUCUCUCUAAUACAGGGGGCUCAUGACGGUACCGUAAGAAUAAGCACCGGCUAACUACGUGCCAGCAGCCGCGGUAACAC